AUCCAUCUGACGAGUCUCAAUCAGGGUGAAACGCACGUUCUGGAU
rnacentral:hammerhead_ribozyme from 1 species